CAGCAGCCACGGUAAUACGAGGGGGGCAAGCGUUGUUCGGAAUUAUUGGGCGUAAAGGGUGCGUAGGCGGUUAGGCAAGUCUUAUGUGAAAUCUCUGGGCUCAACCCAGAGUCUGCAUGAGAAACUGCCGGGCUUGAGUAUGGGAGAGGUGAGUGGAAUUUCCGGUGUAGCGGUGAAAUGCGUAGGUAUCGGAAGGAACACCUGUGGCGAAAGCGGCUCACUGGACCAUAACUGACGCUGAUGCACGAAAGCUAGGGGAGCAAACAGGAUUAGAUACCCGGGUAGUCCCUGUCUCUUAUAC
rnacentral:rRNA from 1 species